GACGAACGCUGGCGGCGUGCCUAAUACAUGCAAGUCGAACGAACCGCGCCUAAGUGCUUGCACACGGUCAAGGUGCGUGGCGAACGGGUGCGUAACACGUGGGUAAACUACCCCAUAGUGGGGGAUAACAGUCGGAAACGCCUGCUACUAACGCAUAGGACCUAGGAUCACAUGAUCCAGUGAGGAAAGUAGGUGCAAGCUAUCGAUACGAGAUAGACCCGCGGUGCAUUAGGUAGUUGGUAGGGUAAAGGCCUACCAAGGCGUUGAGGGAUACCCGAUCUGAGGGGGAGAAUCGCCAGAUUGUCAGUGAGGAACGGCCCACACACUGACGGUGGGCAGCGGUAGGGACUCUUCCGCGAUGGAGGCAAGUGGAACGGAGCAACGCCGCGGGAAUGAUGAAGGUGUACGGAUCGUAGAGCUAUGAUGUUAUAGGAGAACAGCGGAUAGAGUAACUGCGAUGAUAAUGACGGUACCUAACGAGAAAGCCACGGCUAACUACGUG
rnacentral:rRNA from 1 species